rnacentral:misc_RNA from 1 species
AACGCACCUUGCGCUCUUUGGCUAUUCCGAAGAGCAUGCCUGUUUGAGUAUCAUGAACACCUCAACUCUCAUGGCUUUGCCGUGACGAGCUUGGACUUUGGGGGUCUUGCUGGCCUGCGGUCGGCUCCUCUCAAAAGAAUCAGCCUGCCAGUGUCUGGUGGCAUCACGGGUGUGAUAACUAUCUACGCUCGCCGUUGCCUGCCGGGUAACCUCCGGUCACGGGGUUCGCUGGGGCUCAUAAACGUCCGCGAGGACAGCUUUGUGAACGUUUGAUCUCAAAUCAGGUAGGACUACCCGCUGAACUUAA